rnacentral:rRNA from 1 species
GACGAACGCUGGCGGCGUGCCUAAUACAUGCAAGUCGUACGCUUCUUUUUCCACCGGAGCUUGCUCCACCGGAAAAAGAAGAGUGGCGAACGGGUGAGUAACACGUGGGUAACCUGCCCAUCAGAAGGGGAUAACACUUGGAAACAGGUGCUAAUACCGUAUAACAAUCGAAACCGCAUGGUUUUGAUUUGAAAGGCGCUUUCGGGUGUCGCUGAUGGAUGGACCCGCGGUGCAUUAGCUAGUUGGUGAGGUAACGGCUCACCAAGGCCACGAUGCAUAGCCGACCUGAGAGGGUGAUCGGCCACAUUGGGACUGAGACACGGCCCAAACUCCUACGGGAGGCAGCAGUAGGGAAUCUUCGGCAAUGGACGAAAGUCUGACCGAGCAACGCCGCGUGAGUGAAGAAGGUUUUCGGAUCGUAAAACUCUGUUGUUAGAGAAGAACAAGGAUGAGAGUAACUGUUCAUCCCUUGACGGUAUCUAACCAGAAAGCCACGGCUAACUACGUGCCAGCAGCCGCGGUAAUACGUAGGUGGCAAGCGUUGUCCGGAUUUAUUGGGCGUAAAGCGAGCGCAGGCGGUUUCUUAAGUCUGAUGUGAAAGCCCCCGGCUCAACCGGGGAGGGUCAUUGGAAACUGGGAGACUUGAGUGCAGAAGAGGAGAGUGGAAUUCCAUGUGUAGCGGUGAAAUGCGUAGAUAUAUGGAGGAACACCAGUGGCGAAGGCGGCUCUCUGGUCUGUAACUGACGCUGAGGCUCGAAAGCGUGGGGAGCAAACAGGAUUA